rnacentral:rRNA from 1 species
CAAACGACUCUCGGCAACGGAUAUCUCGGCUCUUGCAUCGAUGAAGAACGUAGCGAAAUGCGAUACUUGGUGUGAAUUGCAGAAUCCCGUGAACCAUCGAGUCUUUGAACGCAAGUUGCGCCCGAAGCCAUUAGGUCGAGGGCACGUCUGCCUGGGCGUCACAC